rnacentral:rRNA from 1 species
GAUGAACGCUGGCGGCGUGCCUAAUACAUGCAAGUCGAGCGAACGGACGAGAAGCUUGCUUCUCUGAUGUUAGCGGCGGACGGGUGAGUAACACGUGGAUAACCUACCUAUAAGACUGGGAUAACUUCGGGAAACCGUAGCUAAUACCGGAUAAUAUUUUGAACCGCAUGGUUCAAAAGUGAAAGACGGUCUUGCUGUAACUUAUAGAUGGAUCCGCGCUGCAUUAGCUAGUUGGUAAGGUAACGGCUUACCAAGGCAACGAUGCAUAGCCGACCUGAGAGGGUGAUCGGCCACACUGGAACUGAGACACGGUCCAGACUCCUACGGGAGGCAGCAGUAGGGAAUCUUCCGCAAUGGGCGAAAGCCUGACGGAGCAACGCCGCGUGAGUGAUGAAGGUCUUCGGAUCGUAAAACUCUGUUAUUAGGGAAGAACAUAUGUGUAAGUAACUGUGCACAUCUUGACGGUACCUAAUCAGAAAGCCACGGCUAACUACGUG